rnacentral:lncRNA from 1 species
GACAACAACGCUGCGGCGCGCAUCGAGCAAUUCUGGAUGAUGUGGUAUGGUUCUCCAAAGACUCAUACUUGAUAUCCUGUUGUUUUCUAAACCCUGAACUUGUCCGUGUAGUUUAUACAGCAGCAUCCAGUACCUUUGUAGGCUCUGGAUUCCUUUGUUCCCUCCCUGGUGGUCCUGCAAUGCCACCAUGUCGGUAUGAUUAUUGUAAACCUUUGCUUGAUCCCUUUCUUAACCGCUAAAGCCGCGCAUUAGGGCCUAGUUUAAUGCAUUUGCGCUUCUUUUAUGCUCCUGUAUGCGGCGGUUUGCUCAUUCCACAUGUUUCCUUGUCUCCAGAUUACUGCUCUGCAAUGGGUGAAACCUUUUUGGACUGCUUUCACUUUCACCUCUCUGGAGGCAUGGUUGUGCGUGUUUUUAUCGCCUAAUUACCGUGAUUAAUACCAACCUUUUUCUUGUGCUGGGGAACCAUGAUUAUCAGGUUGAUAUAAACCUAGGCAAAUGUCUCCACAAGUCCAGUCUUGCAGGUCUACAU